GCAAAGCAAAGCUGAUGAAGAAAUGAAGAGAUUAGCAGAACAACAACAUAUAGGCUUUUGCUUAUUGUCUGUAAAAUCAUUCACUUUGAAGGUAGGAAAAGAAAUCUGAUAAAGAAAUGAAGAGAUCGACAGAACUGCAACAGGUUGGCUUUUGCUUAUUGUCUUUAAAAUCAUUCACUUUGAAUGGUAACUAAUGUUAUGUUUCAAGCCACUCUUUACAUAGUACAUUUCAUAAAUUCCUAUUUUUUAUGUCUCUUCCUUUGAUCUUCUCUUAUGGUUAGCAAAAAAAAUGGAUAUUCAAGCACAAAAAAAACUGAUGAAGAAAUGAAGAAAUUGGUAGAACGACAAUAGAGGGUAAAAGCGAAGUUUCAUAUGAAAAGCCUUCAGCUGAUGAACACACUCUAUGUUGUGCAAGCAUUGGAAAUGGAAAAAGAGAUCAUGAGUGAAAAGCGCAUAAGACACAUUCCUGGUAUGGAGGAAGAAACAGAAAUACGGCUACACUUACAAAGCCCAUCAAGAUGCAAGCAAGAAUUUGUUCAAAGAAAUAACGAGUGCGCCAGUUCCCCCAGGCAAAGCUUAUAAUGUGGAAGGGACCCAUGACGUGGGAGAAGAGUGAAGACAAGCGAAAUUCGGAAUGUUGAAAAGUUUUUUAGAACAUAUAUCAAUAUAUUCAGAAUUGUGUAUCGCUUUUGCUCUUUGCUCCUGGCCUGGACCAACAAACCGACAUAUAAAUAUGCUCCAAUUAUGUAUCGCUUUUGCUCUUUGCUCAAACCCGCAAGACCACUAGAUUCGUUAAGGUAACAUAUGAGAGAUUUGAACUUUUUGCGGGUUUGAGCAAAGAGCAAAAGCGAUACAUGUAUCUUUGGAGCAUAUUUAUAAGAAGGCAAAGGAUAAUCGCAGACGGACAUGUUCCCUGGGCAUGUAAAGAGUUAACAAAAAUUUACAAGGAAGAGAUGAAAAGUUCUUCGUCUUUCGAUUGGUAGUAGUCUUCCAUAUACAUCAAAACUUAUAUUUACUCUACUCAUCAUCUGAUCCUAAAAUGUGGUGGAGGAUCAUCAUAAUUUGUUCAACUUUUUUCUGAUGUCAGAUCUUGAUGUCCAUGAUGAUGAGCUUGUGGAGGAUGCUAUGUUAUUGAAGUCAUUGACCACUCCUAAGUUUAUUAAACUUUCUACAUCAGUUUUUUUGUUUGCUGCUUAACAUCCAAUGUUUGUUUAAUUCAUCUCCUAUAUAAUUUCUCACUUAAACACUAAAUGUUUGGUAGUUGGCACACUUAACACUUACUAUAGAGUUAAUGUUUAUACUC